rnacentral:lncRNA from 1 species
GAAAAUGGAGAGCAACUUCAUUCAAAUGUCAAAUCUUGGACAAAGAAAAAUAAAUCCAUGAUUCUUUUGUUGUUGUGUUUUCCUGUAAGGUUCUUUCAUUGUUGUCAAUCUCAAGUGUUUGUUCCUUUCGUGGAGGGUUUUAUUUUUGGAUAGGAGAGAGGAAAUUGAUCCAAUUUUCUUUGGCUUUUUCGGUUACGAUGUUAUAGUAUGGUAUGCAUGCACACAAUUUAUCUUUUGCUUUUUUCGGUGUGAUGCUAUUUAACCACCAACAACCUUCAAAUAUUCAUAUCUUCAUAAUAUGGUGAUAUUAUCUAUAACAAUAGUCAUCAAUACAUAUAGAUAUUAUUCUUUGUUCUUGAUUUUUAUGUUUCCAUUAUUACCUUUCCAUUAGUGUCGGUGUUUGAAACUUUUGUUUCACUACUUCCAUUAUUUCAAAGAAAAAAUCAAUCAUUACAAAAAAACAGACAAUGUGGAGAAUUCUUUUCAUUUCAUUUUUUUUGGAGGAUUUUGUGCAUUUUCGUUAAAAAAAAACAAGUAAGUUUAACGGGUAAAGAUGAGCAUUGCAUUCAUUUUAUUUUUGGUGUUUGGAUAUGGCAGAAAUGUUCAUUUCGUUGUUGUUGUUGUUGUUGUUGUUUCGUACAAUUCUGUCUUCAUGCCCACUAACUAGAAAUAAAUGAAACAUUUUUCUUGCAGAAAAAAAAAAUUAUACUUAUACAUUGUUUAAUUAAUUUAAUUUAUUUUUUAGUAGUUUUUCUCACCUUUUUUUGUUCGUUUCAAAGUGGAUGGUGUUUUUCUCGCGUUACUGCCGAAAGAUAGAGGAAAUGGAAGAAUUAUUGCGAGAGAAAUUAAGAAAAAGUGAUGAGGAAAUGGGCUACAAUGGCCACGGUAACAUCAAGGCGUUAAGAUAUA